UACGUAGGGUGCGAGCGUUGUCCGGAAUUACUGGGCGUAAAGAGCUCGUAGGCGGUCUGUCGCGUCGGCUGUGAAAACCCGGAGCUCAACUCCGGGCCUGCAGUCGAUACGGGCAGACUGGAGUUCGGCAGGGGAGACUGGAAUUCCUGGUGUAGCGGUGAAAUGCGCAGAUAUCAGGAGGAACACCGGUGGCGAAGGCGGGUCUCUGGGCCGAUACUGACGCUGAGGAGCGAAAGCGUGGGGAGCGAACAGG
rnacentral:rRNA from 1 species